UCCCGACGUACGCAGUUUUAUCCGGUAAAGCGAAUG
rnacentral:piRNA from 1 species